rnacentral:rRNA from 1 species
GCCUAGGGAUGAGCCCGUGGCCUAUCAGCUUGUCGGUGGGGUGAUGGCUAACCAAGGCGAGGAGGGGUAGCCGGCCUGAGAGGGCGACCGGCCACACAGGGACUGAGACACGGCCCCGAGUCGUACUGGAGGCAGCAGUGGGGAAUAUUGCACAAUGGGCGCAAGCCUGAUGCAGAGACCCCGCGUGUGGGAUGACCGCCUUCGGGUUGUAAACCUCUUUCAGCAGGGAUGAACGCGAAGAGUGACGGUACCUCGAUGAUUCCCCCC